rnacentral:rRNA from 1 species
UCCCUAUGGGGUGCAGCAGGCGCGAAAACUUUACAAUGCGGGAAACCGCGAUAAGGGGAUACUGAGUGCCAGCAUCUUAUGUUGGCUGUCCACCUGUAUAAACAACAGGUGUUAGCAAGGGCCGGGCAAGACCGGUGCCAGCCGCCGCGGUAACACCGGCGGCCCGAGUGGUGACCACUAUUAUUGGGUCUAAAGGGUCCGUAGCAGGUUUGAUCAGUCUUCCGGGAAAUCUGACAGCUCAACUGUUAGGCUUCCGGGGGAUACUGUCAGACUUGGGACCGGGAGAGGUAAGAGGUACUACAGGGGUAGAAGUGAAAUCUUGUAAUCCUUGUGGGACCACCAGUGGCGAAGGCGUCUUACCAGAACGGGUCCGACGGUGAGGGACGAAAGCUGGGGGCACGAACCGGAUUAGAUACCCGGGUAGUCCCAGCUGUAAACGAUGCUCGCUAGGUGUCUGGGACGGUGCGACCGUUUCAGGUGCCGCAGGGAAGCCGUGAAGCGAGCCACCUGGGAAGUACGGCCGCAAGGCUGAAACUUAAAGGAAUUGGCGGGGGAGCACUACAACGGGUGGAGCCUGCGGUUUAAUUGGAUUCAACGCCGGGA